rnacentral:lncRNA from 1 species
GGUGCUGCUGAACUGUUAGUAAAGGGGGAGGACCCCAAAAGGGGAGGAGUGGCGGAGACCAUCGCGAUCUAUAGUGGGAGGAGGGCAAACGGAGUGCCGAUUAAUGUGGCCGAUCCAUCUGCGAUGGGCGGUGCCUGGAGGUCGUGUGAUGGGCGGGGGUUUCGUCAUUGAGAAUGUUUUGUGCGUUUUCUGUGGGAUUUGGGUGUCGUUUGUUGUUACAUUUUGUCUUUGUAUAGAUCGCAACAGUUUGGAAAUGUUAUAUUUUAUUGGUCCGAUGUACGAUUGUAUUUUCUCUGUGAGGUGUUUAGUA